CCUGCGGAAGGAUCAUUAUUGGAAUGAAAUAUCUAGCAAGAGGCUGUUGCUGUUGCUGGGCACUAGCAAUGUGCACGCCUUUUGUGGAAAAAUAAACCCUUAGCAGCAACUUGUUUCGAUCAAGUGACCUCAGGGUUAUGGGCCCUGCGCGCUUCCACUGCGCCAUGCUGCUGUGUGGGGGAUUUAUUUCUUCUCCCUGUGCACCACUUGUAGACUUUGUCUGUCUAUGAAUAUUACUAUAUCACAUAACCUUAUGAAUGCAUCUUUGUGAUUAUAUAUCUACACAACUUUCAACAAUGGAUCUCUUGGCUCUCGCAUCGAUGAAGAACGCAGCGAAAUGCGAUAAGUAAUGUGAAUUGCAGAAUUCAGUGAAUCAUCGAAUCUUUGAACGCAUCUUGCGCUCUUUGGUAUUCCGAAGAGCAUGCCUGUUUGAGUGUCAUUAAUCUCUCAAAAAUACUUCAUUUUUGGAUAUUGGGAGUCAUUGCUGGCGGCUGUUGAACCUCAGCUCUCCUUAAAUUCUUUGAGGACGAAAAAUGUUGGUGUGUGAUAAUAAUGGUCUAUGCCAAACAAGUAGUCCCCCCACCCUCUUUUAAUGAUUGACCUCAAAUCAAGCAAGAUUACCCGCUGAACUUAAGCAUAUCAAU
rnacentral:tRNA from 1 species